UAAGAAGGGGGCUAGCGUUGUUCGGAAUCACUGGGCGUAAAGCGCACGUAGGCGGAUUGUUAAGACAGGGGUGAAAUCCCGAGGCUAAACCUCGGAACUGCCUUUGAUACUGGCGAUCUAGAUUCCGGGAGAGGUGAGUGGAACUGCGAGUGUAGAGGUGAAAUUCGUAGAUAUUCGCAAGAACACCAGUGGCGAAGGCGGCUCACUGGCCUGGAACUGACGCUGAGGUGCGAAAGCGUGGGGAGCAAACAGG
rnacentral:rRNA from 1 species